UUCACUAAUACCUUGAUCCAUCUUCUUUCUGUUGCAAAUUCUCCUUCACUAGGCACCAUAGUCAUUGUGCGGUGAGAUCAGUUGGAGAAGCCUCAACCUCAACCAUGUCGAUCAUACUAGGAUUCCGGCAGCUAUGAACAGUGACGGAAGUUGAUCGACGAGUAGAUGGGGGCGAACUCGUCGGCCUCCGGGGAAUUCACGCGUUCGUUUGUCUUCUUAUUUAG
rnacentral:misc_RNA from 1 species